GACAGGGGGUGCGAGCGUUAAUCGGAGUGAUUGGGCGUAAAGGGCGUGUAGGUGGUUGACUGAGUUGAAUGUGAAAGCUCUGGGCUUAACCGGGAGAGGGCAUUCAAGACGGGUUGACUGGAGUGAGAGUGGGGGUGAUGGAAUUCUCGGUGGAGCGGUGAAAUGCGUAGAGAUCGGGAAGAACACCGGAGGCGAAGGCGAUCACCUGGUUCUCGACUGACACUGAGGCGCGAAGGCGUGGGGAGCAAACAGG
rnacentral:rRNA from 1 species